UGAGGAAGUAAAAGUCGUAACAAGGUCUCCGUUGGUGAACCAGCGGAGGGAUCAUUACUGAGUUACCGCUCUAUAACCCUUUGUGAACAUACCUACAACUGUUGCUUCGGCGGGUAGGCCGUCCCCUGAAAAGGACGCCUCCCGGCCCGGACCGGACCCCCCGCGGGACCGGACCCGGCGCCCGCCGGAGGAUAACCAAACUCUAUUGUAACGACGUUUCUUCUGAGUGGCAUAAGCAAAAUAAUCAAAACUUUUAACAACGGAUCUCUUGGUUCUGGCAUCGAUGAAGAACGCAGCGAAAUGCGAUAAGUAAUGUGAAUUGCAGAAUUCAGUGAAUCAUCGAAUCUUUGAACGCACAUUGCGCCCGCCAGCAUUCUGGCGGGCAUGCCUGUUCGAGCGUCAUUUCAACCCUCAAGCUCUGCUUGGUGUUGGGGCUCUACGGUCGACGUAGGCCCUCAAAGGUAGUGGCGGACCCUCCCGGAGCCUCCUUUGCGUAGUAACAUUUCGUCUCGCACUGGGAUCCGGAGGGACUCUUGCCGUAAAACCCCCCAAUUUUCCAAAGGUUGACCUCGGAUCAGGUAGGGAAUACCCGCUGAACUUAAGCAUAUCAAUAAGCGGAGGAA
rnacentral:rRNA from 1 species